UUAGUAGAGCGGCGCACGGGUGAGUAACACGUGGCUAACCUACCUUUCAGUGGGGGAUAACUCGGGGAAACUCGAGCUAAUACCGCAUACGUUUCGCAAGAAGGAAAGCAGGGGACCUCUUCGGGGGCCUUGUGCUGAAAGAUGGGGCCGCGGUCCAUCAGGUAGUUGGUGGGGUAAAGGCCUACCAAGCCGAAGACGGAUAGCUGGUCUGAGAGGAUGAUCAGCCACACUGGAACUGAGACACGGUCCAGACUCCUACGGGAGGCAGCAGUGGGGAAUAUUGCGCAAUGGGGGAAACCCUGACGCAGCAACGCCGUGUGUGCGAUGAAGGCCCUCGGGUCGUAAAGCACUGUCAACAGGGAAGAUGGGUUCAUACUCUAAUAGAGUGUGGAUUUGACGGUACCUGUGGAGGAAGCACCGGCUAACUCUGUGCCAGCAGCCGCGGUAAUACAGAGGGUGCAAGCGUUGUUCGGAAUUAUUGGGCGUAAAGCGCGCGUAGGCGGUCUGACAAGUCGGAUGUGAAAGCCCGGGGCUCAACCUCGGAAGUGCAUCCGAAACUAGCAGACUUGAAUCUUGGAGGGGGCAGUGGAAUUCCCGGUGUAGAGGUGAAAUUCGUAGAUAUCGGGAGGAACACCAGUGGCGAAGGCGACUGCCUGGACAAUGAUUGACGCUGAGGUGCGAAAGCGUGGGUAGCAAACAGGAUUAGAUACCCUGGUAGUCCACGCCGUAAACGAUGAGUACUAGGUGUUGCGGGUAUUGACUCCCGCAGUGCCGUCGCUAACGCAUUAAGUACUCCGCCUGGGAAGUACGGCCGCAAGGCUAAAACU
rnacentral:rRNA from 1 species